rnacentral:rRNA from 1 species
GACGGACGCUGGCGGCGUGCUUAACACAUGCAAGUCGAACGGAAAGGCCCUGCUUUUGUGGGGUGCUCGAGUGGCGAACGGGUGAGUAACACGUGAGUAACCUGCCCUUGACUUUGGGAUAACUUCAGGAAACUGGGGCUAAUACCGGAUAGGAGCUCCUGCUGCAUGGUGGGGGUUGGAAAGUUUCGGCGGUUGGGGGUGGACUCGCGGCUUAUCAGCUUGUUGGUGGGGUAGUGGCUUACCAAGGCUUUGACGGGUAGCCGGCCUGAGAGGGUGACCGGCCACAUUGGGACUGAGAUACGGCCCAGACUCCUACGGGAGGCAGCAGUGGGGAAUAUUGCACAAUGGGCGGAAGCCUGAUGCAGCAACGCCGCGUGCGGGAUGACGGCCUUCGGGUUGUAAACCGCUUUCGCCUGUGACGAAGCGUGAGUGACGGUAAUGGGUAAAGAAGCACCGGCUAACUACGUG